AGAUCGGCUGCAAGAUCAACACCAGUUGAAACUUCAUCAUUUCGAAGGCCUCGUACAAUGAGAGGUGCAUCCUCUUCGCAAGUUGAUGAUGAUGAAGAGGAGGAAGAAGAGGAUGACAAGGCUUCUGAUUCUGGCUCUGAUGGGGCAGAGAGUUCCUCUCCAGAUGCUUCAAUGGCAGAUAUUAUUCCAAUGCUUGAUGAGCUCCACCCACUUUUAGACGAGGAAACUCCACAACCAGCUCGUAUGUCUCAAGAUGGAUCUGAUACUGGUUCAGAGUGCUCUCAUAAGAGUGUUGAGUCAGAGGAGGAUGUAGAAAACCAGGCAGAUGGAGAAGAAGAUGGUGAUGAUGAUAAUGACAAUGAGGAAGGGGAAGAAGAAGUGCAGGGGGGUAAAGAGGAUGAGAGUAAGUCUGCAAUCAAAUGGACGGAGGAUGACCAAAAGAAUCUCAUGGAUUUGGGCACUUUAGAGCUUGAAAGAAACCAACGUCUAGAGAGUCUUAUUGCUAGGAGAAUAGCUUGUAGAAACCUGAGUAUAAUGGCUGAGAAGAAUCUUAUAGACUUGGAUGGGGCUGAUCUUCGCUAUAAUAUUCCACCUAUUUCAACAACAAGACGCAACCCCUUUGAUCUUCCUUAUGAUUCUUACGAAGAUGUUCCUGGGUCUGCUCCAUCUGUACUGUUGCCUAGACGUAAUCCAUUUGAUCUUCCUUAUGAUUCAAAUGAGGAAAAACCUGAUCUUAAAGUUGAUAGUUUUCAGCAAGAAUUCUCAGCAUUUCAGCAUAGGGAACCAGUCUUUCGAAGACAUGAAAGUUUCAUCGUGGGACCAUCUGUUUUGGGGGCUACCAAACAAGAGAGGCAAGAUAUUCGGUGGAAGCCAUAUUUUGUGCCUGAAAGAUUUGCUACUGAGGAAACAAGAUAUCAUACCUUCCAACGGCAAUUGAGUGAAGCUAGUGAGUCGAAGGUGAGCUCAAUUCCUGAUACUGAAUCAGUGAGUUCAGCUGUGGAAGAGGAGAACAAGAAGCUCGAUGAAGAUCUCUCUCAAGAAACAGAAAUGCUCUCCAAUUUGGACCAUGUUUCUGUCCUUGUUGAAUGUGGAAGCCUGUUAUCUGAAGAUGUUGACUCAGUGGACAUUGAAAACAUUGAGAGGAGAGAUGUUCAUCAUGAUGAGGAUGAAAUUACACUUAGAGAUGUAGAAAAUCACCAUGAAUUAGAUCCAAGUUUGUCUACAUCAAGAGGGGCAACUCCAUUAAAACUCAACACAAGUGAAAUUCUUCUGAAAAUGGAACCAGGUGAAGAGGAGUAUAGCAGCAGAUCAAGCAAAUCAUCACUGUCAGAAGUAGAUGAAAAACUAUCUGAUGUGAAAAAGAGAUCAACGAGUCCAGAUCCAGGUGACAGUCAGAUUGAGGAAUCUCACAUUUCAACCCAAACUUCACUUGAUUCAGAUUUCCAUUUUAUGAGUGAGGCGGUGGAUGAAAAUCAAGAAAGGAAGCCUGCUCAGGAGCCAAGAGGAAACCAUACUGCAGAACAUAUCAGUGUAAUGCAAACCUCAUUUGAUUCAGAUUUUCAAUUUACAUGUGGUGUGGAAGAUGACAAUAGACAUAUUGAGCCUGUUUUUGAGCCAAAAGGUGAUCAUAUUGGGGAUUCUAGCAUUUUGAUGCAAGCUUCACUAGAUUCAGAUUCACAUUUCAAGACUCUGGUGGUAGAUAAUGAUCAACAACAGAAGCCUGUUCUGGAGCCAAGUGGUAAUCUUAUUAGGGAAUCUUGCAUUUCAAUACAGACUUCACUCAAUUCAGAUUUUCACAUUACAAUUGGGAUGGUGGAUGACAAUCAACAUAAGGAGCCUGUUUAUGAUUCAAGCCCCCAAGCAGUUGACAAGUUCCUCUCUUUAUUGUCAAUCUCGUCUGAUACACAAGGCGUGACAUCAGAAAUGGGUUCGCCUCCAGCAUUAGCUGAAUUUUCUGGUAAAGAAUCUGAAGUGCAUACUGAGAACAUGGGGAAAAAUACUUCUGGCCACAAAAAGACGCAUGAAGGCUCCUCAAAAGAACAAUCAUUAGAUGAA
rnacentral:misc_RNA from 1 species